AUCCCGAAGAGAGCGACGAGAGGGAGAGGGAGAGGGAGAGAGGGAGAGGAGAUUCCAUUCGCAGCUCUCGUUUCAAUUCUUCUCCACUGUUACAAGCCGAACACAAAAACCCUAGAAGAAGCCAUCCCGAUGGCCGCCGUGCAAGAUCUCGACCUCCCGUUGGCUCCGGAUGCGCCUCCAUCCGCCGCCUCCUUGCCCCCUUCCGGCCGGACUCGGCGAUCUGUGCACCAUGCCCUCGGCGGCGGCGCUGUCGCCGAUGUGCUUCUAUGGAGGCACAGGAACGCGGCGGUUCUCAUGGCGGUCGGUGCCACGACGGUGUGGUUCCUCUUCGAGCGGGCCGGUUACAGCUUCUUGUCCGUCUUUGCGAACGCCAUCCUCCUUCUCGUGCUCAUCCUCUUCUUCUGGGCCAAAUCUGCCUUGCUCCUCAACAGACCUCUUCCGCCCCUUCCUAAUCUCGAGAUUUCGGAUGAGGUAGUAGGUAAGGCUGCCGACAGGGCUCGGGUGUGGAUCAAUCGGGUCUUGGCAAUUGGGCACGACAUAACCAUCCGGAGAGAUAGGAAGGUUUUCCUUCAGGUCAUUUUGGUUCUGUGGUUCAUCGCCUACAUUGGGAGACUGUUCAACUUCCUUACCCUUGUUUACAUAGGAGUCCUUCUGCCUAUCACACUUCCUGCUUUGUAUGACAAGUAUCAAGAUCAUGUUGAUGAAAAGUUUGGUGUGGCACAUGAUGCGGUCAUGAAGCAGUACGUGAGCAUCUUAAGCCGAAUACAGGCACAACCAACCAAAGAAAAGAAGACUCAAUAACAGAAUCACUGCUAUUCCGGUCCAAUCUUUUGCAUGACAUGCAUCAAAUCCAUUUGGAAGCCUACUUAAAUGACAAUGUUUGGCGUGUCUGCUAAAAUGAAGAUCUGGUGGCAUCCAUAUGCAUCGGCAACCAUUCCUAUCAGCACACUACCAUCACCUGUGUUUAUGGAUGUCAAUAUUAAUGAACCAAUUUAUGGUAUUUUCUGGUGGAGCUCUUGUUAUAGUCUUUUCUGGUAUGUUGAUCAAGUUGACUGUGAACUAAAAUGCCUUCUCAGUAAGCUGUGUUCAAAUCUUUCGUGUUAGAGCCAUCUAUGUCAUGGGAUGUUUGAUAAAUUCUUCGAUUUUAGAGCAAUCGAAUGGAGGCAUGAAUGUGUGUGCUUGUCUUCAAUA